rnacentral:rRNA from 1 species
UACGUAGGGGGCUAGCGUUGUCCGGAAUCAUUGGGCGUAAAGCGCGUGUAGGCGGCCCGGUAAGUCCGCUGUGAAAGUCGGGGGCUCAACCCUCGAAUGCCGGUGGAUACUGUCGGGCUAGAGUGCGGAAGAGGCGAGUGGAAUUCCUGGUGUAGCGGUGAAAUGCGCAGAUAUCAGGAAGAACACCAAUGGCGAAGGCAGCUCUCUGGGACGGUACUGACGCUGAGACGCGAAAGCGUGGGGAGCGAACAGG